rnacentral:rRNA from 1 species
CCUACGGGAGGCUGCAGUCGAGAAUCAUUCACAAUGGGGGAAACCCUGAUGGUGCGACGCCGCGUGGGGGAAUGAAGGUCUUCGGAUUGUAAACCCCUGUCAUGUGGGAGCAAAUUAAAAAGAUAGUACCACAAGAGGAAGAGACGGCUAACUCUGUGCCAGCAGCCGCGGUAAUACAGAGGUCUCAAGCGUUGUUCGGAAUCACUGGGCGUAAAGCGUGCGUAGGCUGUUUCGUAAGUCGUGUGUGAAAGGUGCGGGCUCAACCCGCGGACGGCACAUGAUACUGCGAGACUAGAGUAAUGGAGGGGGAACCGGAAUUCUCGGUGUAGCAGUGAAAUGCGUAGAUAUCGAGAGGAACACUCGUGGCGAAGGCGGGUUCCUGGACAUUAACUGACGCUGAGGCACGAAGGCCAGGGGAGCGAAAGGGAUUAGAUACCCCAGUAGUC